GAUGAACGCUGGCGGCGUGCCUAAUACAUGCAAGUCGAGCGGACGGACGAGAAGCUUGCUUCUCUGAUGUUAGCGGAGGACGGGUGAGUAACACGUGUAUAACCUACCUAUAAGACUGGGAUAACUUCGGGAAACCGGAGCUAAUACCGUAUGAUAUUUUGAACCGCAUGGUUCAAAAGUGAAAGACGGUCUUGCUGUCACUUAUAGAUGGAUCCGCGCUGCAUUAGCUAGUUGGUAAGGUAACGGCUUACCAAGGCAACGAUGCAUAGCCGACCUGAGAGGGUGAUAGGCCACCCUGGAACUGGGACACGGUCCAGACUCCUACGGGAGGCAGCAGUAGGGAAUCUUCCGCAAUGGGCGAGAGCCUGACGGAGCAAGGCCGAGUGAGUGAUGAAGGUCUUCGGAUCGUAAAACUCUGUUAUUGGGGAUGAACAUAUGUGGAAGUAACUGUGGACAGCGUGACGGUACCUAAUCAGAAAGCCACGGCUAACUACGUG
rnacentral:rRNA from 1 species